UGAUGCUGGAUCAGUUCAAUACAUCUGCUUUGCAAAUAUACCUACAUAUUUUCUAUAAUUAUCUGUUUCUAAUAUUUGCGGUGAUAUUGUAGCGCUGUAAAAACUUAACUUGAAGCUUUUCAUACAGAUUCAUUCAACUUAGUAGUUAACAAUGGUGCAGCUGCUGGCCAAGUUAUAUUUCACACUCAUAUUCAUAUAAUUCCUCGUAAGGCACGUGAUUGCUUGUGGCCUUCUGAGAGUUUGCGGAGGCAUCCCCUAAAGUUGGACCAGGAAACUGUUAAACUUGUAGAUUCUGUUCACAAAGUGCUGUCACUGUCAAGCAACACUGAAGAUAGCAAGGAUCAAGGAUCCAGGAUCUAGUCUCACCAAAAUUCAGCGCAAUCAUUGAUCUGGUGUUUGUUGUUUAUACUAUGAUGGUAUGUACCUUCUGAACAUGUACAGAUCUUUGGCUUGACUUGCACAAAUGGAUCGUCGUCGUCGAUAAAUUGAAUGAGCUUAUAUGAAAAGGUUUUAAGACAUGCCCCCCCACACACACAGGAGAGGAGAGGAGAGGAGAGAGAGAGAGAGAGAGAGAGAGAGAGAGAGAGAGAGACAUUGCAUGGACUUUGCCUCAAUAGCAUUACUUGAAGCCGGUUACUGCUAUGGCUAUGGUCAUUACUAUUGUUCAAAUUAGUCGAUUUUGUACCACAACAUUUGGGUUCUUAUUGUCCUAUUUGUGUUUUAUGUCCUUGAGAUUUUUAAUAUAUAUGUGAAGCCCUUAUUAGUGAGUGUUUGACUCAAA